rnacentral:rRNA from 1 species
GACGAACGCUGGCGGCGUGCCUAAUACAUGCAAGUCGAACGCUUCUUUCCUCCCGAGUGCUUGCACUCAAUUGGAAAGAGGAGUGGCGGACGGGUGAGUAACACGUGGGUAACCUACCCAUCAGAGGGGGAUAACACUUGGAAACAGGUGCUAAUACCGCAUAACAGUUUAUGCCGCAUGGCAUAAGAGUGAAAGGCGCUUUCGGGUGUCGCUGAUGGAUGGACCCGCGGUGCAUUAGCUAGUUGGUGAGGUAACGGCUCACCAAGGCCACGAUGCAUAGCCGACCUGAGAGGGUGAUCGGCCACACUGGGACUGAGACACGGCCCAGACUCCUACGGGAGGCAGCAGUAGGGAAUCUUCGGCAAUGGACGAAAGUCUGACCGAGCAACGCCGCGUGAGUGAAGAAGGUUUUCGGAUCGUAAAACUCUGUUGUUAGAG